rnacentral:rRNA from 1 species
GAUGAACGCUGGCGGCGUGCCUAAUACAUGCAAGUCGAGCGAACCACUUCGGUGGUGAGCGGCGAACGGGUGAGUAACACGUAGGUGAUCUGCCCAUCAGACGGGGACAACGAUUGGAAACGAUCGCUAAUACCGGAUAGGACGAAAGUUUAAAGGUGCUUCUGGCACCGCUGAUGGAUGAGCCUGCGGCGCAUUAGCUAGUUGGUAGGGUAAAGGCCUACCAAGGCGACGAUGCGUAGCCGACCUGAGAGGGUGAACGGCCACACUGGGACUGAGACACAGCCCAGACUCCUACGGGAGGCAGCAGUAGGGAAUCUUCGGCAAUGGGCGAAAGCCUGACCGAGCAACGCCGCGUGAAUGAUGAAGGCCUUCGGGUUGUAAAAUUCUGUUAUAAGGGAAGAACGACUUUAGUAGGAAUGGCUAGAGUGUGACGGUACCUUAUGAGAAAGCCACGGCUAACUACGUGCCAGCAGCCGCCGUAA